rnacentral:rRNA from 1 species
CAGCCGCCGCGGGAAUACGAAGGGGGCUAGCGUUGUUCGGAUUUACUGGGCGUAAAGCGCACGUAGGCGGAUCCUUAAGUCAGAGGUGAAAUCCCAAGGCUCAACCUUGGAACUGCCUUUGAUACUGGGGAUCUCGAGUUCGGGAGAGGUGAGUGGAACUGCGAGUGUAGAGGUGAAAUUCGUAGAUAUUCGCAAGAACACCAGUGGCGAAGGCGGCUCACUGGCCCGAUACUGACGCUGAGGUGCGAAAGCGUGGGGAGCAAACAGGAUUAGAUACCCCCGUAGUCCCUGUCUCUUAUAC